GGUAACGACGGGGGAGGGACGGGGGUAAGGCGCAGGGGUGGAGCGUUAAUCGGAAUUACGGGGCGUAAAGGGGGCGCAGGCGGCAGCGGAAGUCGGGGGUGAAAGCCCCGGGCUUAACUUGGGAAUGGCGCUCGAAACUACGUGGCUGGAGUGUGGCAGAGGAAGGUGGAAUUCCACGUGUAGCGGUGAAAUGCGUAGAGAUGUGGAGGAACACCAAUGGCGAAGGCAGCCUUCUGGGCCAACACUGACGCUCAUGCACGAAAGCGUGGGGAGCAAACAGGAUUAGAUACCCGUGUAGUC
rnacentral:rRNA from 1 species